rnacentral:misc_RNA from 1 species
AUCUUUUCUGGUUAUGAGGUUGACCUUAAGGCCAACAGAAAUGCUGAACUAUAAGUUAUGAAUCUUUUGUCAUGUUGCCCAAAGGGUUCUCUGCAUUCCUGGACAAUAACAUCAUGUAGAGUAUUGGCUAUAAGGUACAACUCAUCUGCCCAAUCAAAAACACAUUAUCAAACACUGGGGGUGCCACGCACGGCCAGUGUAAAAGAGAUCAAAGCUGCAUACAUAGAAUUAUGUAAAAAGCAUCAUCCUGAUGCUAAUCCAAAUGAUCCACAAGCUCAACAAAGAUUUGUGAAACUUCAAGAAGCUUAUAAUGUACUAAGUAGCCCUGUAGAAAGAGCAUGCUAUGAUGUGAAGAUUAACAGGGCCUCAUAUAAGACUCCGUAAGUUUUGUGGUUUGAAAAAGAAAUGUCAGGACAGACAGGUACAUGUAAAAUGAUCUUGAUUGCAAAAGCCUUUGAUUUCACGGAAUUCAUGAAUAAAGAAGAAGGUACGGUUUCUUUAAAUAUUUGCCCUAAAAUUACAAAGUUGUUUAAAUCUCAUGAAAAUAUGCACACAAUAUCUUCAAUACAUGUGUAUAUAAAGUACCAUGCUAUACACCUUUAUUCUGAUUUCAAAAAAGGAUAAUGACUUCAACAUUUUGUAAUAUUUCUAAAAUGUAGUAAAAAAUGAUGAAAAGUAGCACAUUUUCUCAUAGUUUUGAAGAGGAAAAAUGUGUCCGCAGCCUUUUAAUUUUAAAAAAAAUUAGUUGCUGCGAAAAAAAAACGGGUGGGGUCAGGCCCCCCAGAUGCUACGUGCCUGUAGAUAGGGGGUUUACAUUUUUUUGAUAUAAGAAAUAUAUAAUGUCAGAUGCCUGGGAUUGGUACAUACCCCUGGUGAAUUUAUAUCAAAUACAUCUCUUAACCAUAAAGUUGUGUAUAUAAAAAGUACAACAUGCUCAUUCUGUGUAGAUAAAUGAUAAAUAUCUGCAAUUGAAAAAAUUAUCCAGAAACUAUGGAUCAGCUAGAUCUUCCGACGCUGACUUCAUUAGAAAAUACUACCAGGAAAAAGCCAGAGAACAUCAAAGACAAAAAGAUAUGGAGGACUGGAGAUAUCGAACUGGAAAGUAUAGAGAUCAUGAGAUGGAUGAAGCCAUACGAAAAGAGAAUGAACGACAACGCCAGGCCUUUCAAAAUAUAUUUCAGUCUGGAGCUGGUAGAAAUCUGCGAAAUGAUCGGUAUUGGAGUGGACGGUAUCAGUAUCAUUAUUAUCACUCCAGUCACCCCGUUGGAAAAUUAAGGCAGAUGAUGUUCUAUCUUAUACUUUGGACAUGUAUUUUUUCUUUGAUUGGAACUCGUCAUUGAUCUCCCUGGCUGAAACGAAUACAAGGUACUUAUCUUACCUCUUUAUAGAUGAAGAGAAUCAAAGUGGGAGAAAUGAUCAUGUAUAGUGAUUAUUUAUAUUUUACAUUUAUGAUGUUUGUAACGUGAAUUAUUGGAUUUCAAAAGAGCAAACUGUGAACUCUUAAAUUUGACACAUUCUUUGUGUGGACUGACACUAUAAUUUUAACGUACAAUGACUGAACUGUUAAAGUUUUAAUAAAAUGGCUUUUG